rnacentral:rRNA from 1 species
GCUGGCGGCGUGCUUAACACAUGCAAGUCGAACGAUGAAGACCGUGCUUGCACGGUUGGAUUAGUGGCGAACGGGUGAGUAUCACGUGAGUAACCUUCCCUUAACUCUGGGAUAAGCCCGGGAAACUGGGUCUAAUACCGGAUACGACCAGUCCUCGCAUGGGGUGCUGGUGGAAAGAUUUAUCGGUUUUGGAUGGACUCGCGGCCUAUCAGCUUGUUGGUGAGGUAAAGGCUCACCAAGGCGAUGACGGGUAGCCGGCCUGAGAGGGUGACCGGCCACACUGGGACUGAGACACGGCCCAGACUCCUACGGGAGGCAGCAGUGGGGAAUAUUGCACAAUGGGCGAAAGCCUGAUGCAGCGACGCCGCGUGCGGGAUGACGGCCUUCGGGUUGUAAACCGCUUUCAGCAGGGAAGAAGCGAAAGUGACGGUACCUGCAGAAGAAGCGCCGGCUAACUACGUGCCAGCAGCCGCGGUAAUACGUAGGGCGCGAGCGUUAUCCGGAAUUAUUGGGCGUAAAGAGCUCGUAGGCGGUUUGUCACGUCUGCUGUGAAAGCCCGGGGCUCAACCCCGGGUGUGCAGUGGGUACGGGCAGACUAGAGUGCAGUAGGGGAGACUGGAAUUCCUGGUGUAGCGGUGAAAUGCGCAGAUAUCAGGAGGAACACCGAUGGCGAAGGCAGGUCUCUGGGCUGUUACUGACGCUGAGGAGCGAAAGCAUGGGGAGCGAACAGGAUUAGAUACCCUGGUAGUC